rnacentral:sRNA from 1 species
UCAAAUCCAGUGGCAGUCUAAUUUUUGGAAAGGGAGAUGGGAUUACUACAAUCCCACCCCCCUCUCCAAAAAUUAGAAUUGUCACUUGAUUUGUUAUAAGAU